rnacentral:rRNA from 1 species
UUCUGCCUACGGGGCGCAGCAGUGGGGAAUAUUGCACAAUGGGGGAAACCCUGAUGCAGCGACGCCGCGUGAGUGAGGAAGUAUUUCGGUAUGUAAAGCUCUAUCAGCAGGGAAGAAAAUGACGGUACCUGACUAAGAAGCCCCGGCUAACUACGUGCCAGCAGCCGCGGUAAUACGUAGGGGGCAAGCGUUAUCCGGAUUUACUGGGUGUAAAGGGAGCGUAGACGGCAAUACAAGUCGGAAGUGAAAUACCCGGGCUUAACCUGGGAACUGCUUUGGAAACUUUAUGGCUGGAGUGCUGGAGG